rnacentral:tRNA from 2 species
GCGCCGCUAGCUCAACUGGCAGAGCAGCUGACUCUUAAUCAGCGGGUUAUAGGUUCAAGUCCUAUGCGGCGCAC